GAUGAACGCUGGCGGCGUGCCUAAUACAUGCAAGUCGAGCGAACAGACGAGGAGCUUGCUCCUCUGACGUUAGCGGCGGACGGGUGAGUAACACGUGGAUAACCUACCUAUAAGACUGGGAUAACUUCGGGAAACCGGAGCUAAUACCGGAUAAUAUAUUGAACCGCAUGGUUCAAUAGUUAAAUACGGUUUUGCUGUCUCUUAUAGAUGGAUCCGCGCCGCAUUAGCUAGUUGGUAAGGUAACGGCUUACCAAGGCAACGAUGCGUAGCCGACCUGAGAGGGUGAUCGGCCACACUGGAACUGAGACACGGUCCAGAAUCCUACGGGAGGCAGCAGUAGGGAAUAUUCCGCAAGGGGCGAAAGCAUGACGGAGCAACGCCGCGUGAGUGAUGAAGGUCUUAGGAUCGUAAAACUCUGUUAUUAGGGAAGAACAAAUGUGUAAGUAACUAUGCACGUCUUGACGGUACCUAAUCAGAAAGCCACGGCUAACUACGUG
rnacentral:rRNA from 1 species